CACACUAUUAUUGAUACAGACAGUGAAUGAAACGAAUGCAGUGAUUAUAGUUUAUACUGAUUAUACUUAUAGAUCUACCAGUUGAUAAUCAUCAUCAUCAUAGAUAAUAAUCUAGACUAGUAUUCUAGAUCUAUAAAUAAUCAUAGUCACCGUGAUAGUGCCCUUUUUAGUCAAUGUAGUCAAGUCAAGAUAGUGGAACGUAAACUCGAAGGUUUAAUACAAUACAGUAUAAGCUAUGAUUAUUAACAAGUAGAACCAUGCCAACCAGUUCUGAUGAUGUACCAGAAUGGCUCAAGGAUCAUACUUAUACUAUUUCUACUCUCUGGGCAGACAUUAAUAAUAUUGGCAUCCAUUCAAUAUUUAUUUUAUGUUUGGAAAUGGAAGAAAAAGGCAUGCAUUCCUGACAAGUCAAUGAUUGGUUGCACCUCUAAAGAUAACUUUCUGUUAUGAGAAAAGAUGAGAUUCUUGGACUCCUGCAUAGCACCACCAGAAAGGAAAAUCCCAUCAUGUUGCAAAAUAAAAGUCUUGGACCAAUUUUAAUUUAAGAUAUAUAUAUUAUACUGUAAGCUCUAUACAUAUUUAUGUGUAUCCUGUCAUUCAGCCAACAGGUUUGGAUUUAGUAUUUCUUUAAAUCUGUUUGAUAUUGUACUUGAAAACUAUUAAUCUGAGCCCCAUUAAAACAAUAGGGAGUGCAGUGAAUGAGUGGUAAAGCACUUGGCUUCUGAACCGAGGGUUCCUGGGUUCAAUUAAGACUGGGAUUUUCAAUUUCAGAAUUCAAAAGGCUAGGGAUACAUGGCAAUAGUAAGGAAUAAGUUAAGGCAGUUUGGGGAUCCAUGGCUGAAUGGUUAAGUCAUGGGUUUGAAUCUCUGUGAAGACUCAGAUUACAAUUUUUUUUAGAUUUUUGGGUGCCCCUGAGUCCACCUAACUCUAAUGGGUAGCUGACUUUCGUUUUGGAAAGUAAAGAUGGUUGGUUGUUGUGCUGGCCACAUGAUGCACUGGCCAAAGAAUCAAAUGACCCUAUAGAUUGUGACGUCUGAAAUGGGAUUUUUUUUCAAAAGGUGGUUGGUUGUUGUGCUGGGUACAUGACACCCUCGCUAACCAUGGGGCACAGAAACUGAUAAACUUUGUAUCAUCUGCCCCAUAGAUUGCAAGAUAUGUAAGGGAAAUUUUACUUUUUUAAAAUUAAAAUAAGAAUCUAUCAAAAGUAAACAUAAAAUAUGGUGCAUUCUCCUUAAAACUAAAACCUGGUGCGAAGGUUUAAAAUGUUGGCAAAAAAAAGCAACAUCAUAUAUUCUUAAUUCCCUUUGCAAAACUUACUGAGAAGAAUAUGCAUGUUGUUCCCUCAUAAGUUUCUUGACAGAGGAAAUCUUGUUUAUAUUAGAUUUGAAUUAAGCAAAUUAAGAAAAAAAUUAUAAUCAUUAUUUCAAAUGGUUGUAUCUAAACCUUUUAUGAAUUAUUUUUCAGUCAUAAGUAUAUUGAGAUUAAUGGAUAAUCAUGAAAUUGUUAAAUAAUUGCUGCUAUCAUUCCAUUGACUAAAGAACCAUAAUUUUUUUUUUUUUAAAUUAAUUUCAAAAUGAUUUUUUUCAAGCAUAGAGUUCACAUAGAUCUUGAGUGAAUUUUUUUUUUUAUUUGACUAAUGCUUCAAUUUUAUUGUAUCAUAUUAGUUGUUAAUUUUUAUUACCCAGAAUAAUGCCUGUACUUCAGAAUAUUUAAAAAAUGAGUACACUAUUUUCAUGUAAUAAUGUAACUUGGUAUUCACACAAUGCUCAAAAUACACCAUAAUCUUUAGGCCAUACAGAUUUGUAUAAAUUAACUUGUUUAAAUACAUUGUAAAUGUAUAUUGUUUGGAUAAGAAUAAAGUUUUUCUGUAGACAAUUAUUGUUCAAGAUUUGUUGAUGCUCCUGCUUAAUCAAUUAUAUAUACAGGUCAUUAGUUUUAACACGUCUGAUAAUAAAUGACAGUACA